AGCUUCUAGUGUUCUAGGUAGCGAGAUAAAUCCGUAAAACAAGUGUUCCAUAUUAAUUUGGAAUGUAGUAACUUUUAAUUAUGAAUCAUUUUCUCCUAUAAAUAAUUUUUAAUUUAUGUUAGUUAAUUUGCAAAACAAUUUUAUACAUUAGUAUUUUAAAACAAAAGCUAUUCUUUUUGCAAAUUAUGAAGAUGUCAAUGAGGCCAUUUGUUGCUUUCUUCCUUGUGUUCUUACUCGUCUUGACAACAGAGGUAAGUACAAAAGUAGCAGAAGCAAGGAUAUGUGCUAGUCCAAGUCCCACGUUCAAAGGAAUAUGUUUUAGCAGCAGGAAUUGUGAAACUAAUUGCAAUUCUGUGAAAUUUUCUGGAGGAAGUUGUCAAGGUUUUCGUAGAAGAUGCAUGUGCACCAAGCCUUGCGCUUAAUUAACCAAUGGUGUGCCACGUGCGCGUUCCUCGUUAUCAAUAAUCAGCUUCACAUUGGUUAAAAUUUGCAUAAAUAUGUAAAAAAAAAAAAUAACAGUUUGGCGCGCGCGUUCGCUAUACAUCAUCUUCAUUCAUCAACAAUCGAGUUGAUGCAGUGUUCUAUGUAUAUCUAUAUAUAAUCUUAUAUACAAAGUGUGUACUAAUACUUGUAUUAUAGUUGUGGUAACUUUGCAAUGUUCAAAUUUCGAACUAAUAAAUUAAUGAAAACUACAAUUCAUUAAGAAA